CACUGUGCCAAUGAUGUUGCCUUGUGGGAUUUUCUAGCAAUGACAGGAGAAUCUACAUAUCUUUGAGCCCAUGGGUUUCUCUUUGGUCGUGACAGCCAGAGGAAAGAGACUCCUCCCUUAUUUCCAGAGAAUGGUAAAGAAGCAUUGCCAGCCAUGUUGGCACACAGCUGGAGUGGGAGGCUGAGGCAGAAGGAUCCCCUGUGGUCCUAGUCAAAACCUUGUGGAGAACUGUACAGAAAGGCCAUCCCAAGCCUCUGCCUGCAAGACGAGGGCAGUUUUGGUCCACAGCGGGUCUCCUGGCUGGCUGUAUCCCCAUCGCUGUUAUUCACCGUUUGGCAGCAGCAGGGCAGAGAGCCCAGCUCGCCAAGAGCUUGUUGGACUCCUGAGACCUGGUGGGAGGGCAUCACUUACGUCUGGUCAAGGAAACAAGAACAUAAUAAUCAGGAGUCCCAGGAUCUUACAGGAAGCAGGAGGAGCCAAGGAAAGAAGGGGAGAGAAAGGUGAUAAAUCCAGGCAAGGAUUGCUGUGGAGCAAAUGCCUGCCUUGGGCAAUAAAGACUCCGCAUCUCUGUCCCCGUUGUCGCCAGUCAAGAGACGAGACGCAGCUCAAGGCUGGUCCUCAAUUGGACCAUCCAUGGCCAUCUGAUCUAAAGCCAGUCAACUCAUUGGCUGGCCAGUAAUCAAUCAGAGUCUCUCUAACAGGCAAAGCAGUUUCCAAACAUUCUCACUUCAAGUUGGUCUUAGAAUCUUGAUUUUUUGUUUGUUUGUUUUGGUCAUGGUGUUUUUAGAUCAAAAGAAAUACUUAAAUGGACCUAAUUAUUGAGUAGUUAGGUCCAAACAACUUAGUAAGUAUUUAUGGUCUAACAAUUUAGCAGAUAUAUGAAAGGGUAAAAUGAAAGAAAACAUUUUUUAUUUUUUUGGUACCAGGGAUCGAACUCAGGUCCUUGCACUUGCACAGCAGGCGGCGGUGAAACCACUGAGCUAAAUCCCCAGCCCUU
ensembl:lncRNA